CGGACGGGUGAGUAAUGUCUGGGAAACUGCCUGAUGGAGGGGGAUAACUACUGGAAACGGUAGCUAAUACCGCAUAACGUCGCAAGACCAAAGAGGGGGACCUUCGGGCCUCUUGCCAUCGGAUGUGCCCAGAUGGGAUUAGCUAGUAGGUGAGGUAACGGCUCACCUAGGCGACGAUCCCUAGCUGGUCUGAGAGGAUGACCAGCCACACUGGAACUGAGACACGGUCCAG
rnacentral:rRNA from 1 species